rnacentral:rRNA from 1 species
AGUGAACGCUGGCGGUAGGCCUAACACAUGCAAGUCGAACGGCAGCACAGUAAGAGCUUGCUCUUACGGGUGGCGAGUGGCGGACGGGUGAGGAAUACAUCGGAAUCUACUUUUUCGUGGGGGAUAACGUAGGGAAACUUACGCUAAUACCGCAUACGACCUACGGGUGAAAGCAGGGGAUCUUCGGACCUUGCGCGAUUGAAUGAGCCGAUGUCGGAUUAGCUAGUUGGCGGGGUAAAGGCCCACCAAGGCGACGAUCCGUAGCUGGUCUGAGAGGAUGAUCAGCCAAACUGGAACUGAGACACGGUCCAGACUCCUACGGGAGGCAGCAGUGGGGAAUAUUGGACAAUGGGCGCAAGCCUGAUCCAGCCAUACCGCGUGGGUGAAGAAGGCCUUCGGGUUGUAAAGCCCUUUUGUCGGGAAAGAAAAGCAGCAGGUUAAUACCCCGCUGUUCUGACGGUACCCAAAGAAUAAGCACCGGCUAACUUCGUG